rnacentral:pre_miRNA from 1 species
UUGUCACUCCCUCCGAUUCAUAUUAGUUGUCGAAAUAUUACAUGUAUCUAGACACUUUUUAAACAUAGAUACAUUUAUAUUUGAGCAAAUUUGAGACAAUUAAUAUGGAUCGGAGGGAGUACCUU